UACGAAGGGGGCUAGCGUUGUUCGGAAUUACUGGGCGUAAAGCGCACGUAGGCGGUGUUCCAUGUCAGAGGUGAAAGCCUGGGGCUCAACUCCAGAAUUGCCUUUGAAACGGGAACGCUUGAGUCCGAGAGAGGAUGGCGGAAUUCCUAGUGUAGAGGUGAAAUUCGUAGAUAUUAGGAAGAACACCGGUGGCGAAGGCGGCCAUCUGGCUCGGUACUGACGCUCAGGUGCGAAAGCGUGGGGAGCAAACAGG
rnacentral:rRNA from 1 species